GGUUCUUGAAGUAUCAUAGUGUUAAGUUAGGUAAAGUUAUGUAUGUGUUUGUUUUUCACCAUUGUCAUCAUUAAAACCUCCCUAUUUUCGUCUGGCUCCCUUCAUCUGAAGACAUGCACUUGUUACAGAAGAACUGACUGAAACUGAAAAUGCAGGCUGAGGAAGAGCUAAGGUGUUUGAGGCAGAGCGGUUGGAGGUUGGGACGAUAAGUAGGGGAUGUCCUCGAGCUCGCAAACCAGGUAUUCUUUUGACUUUCAUGCCUCUUUGGAACAUUCCUGUUCACACAGACUGUGGAGAGAUGGUGUGCAGCUUCAUGAAAUUUGAAGUUUACUGCCGAUGGAAAGCUUCUGGGACACUGACAGACAGCACUUCCCAGUCCCCAAUGAGGAAACAGACUUAUAUAUCUUACAGAAUGAUGUUUUCUGUCAUGGCGAGUUUAGGUACUUUUGUAUGUAAGUGAUUUUUCCUUUGUUCUCCAGAUUCUUUCUAAUAAGUGAGUUGAAGUGUUGUAACUGAGUAUAGUGUUGGGUUUUUCUUGUGCAUCAGCAAAAACCAUUUUUGUGUAUUUGUUUUAGAGAUUGUUUUGUCAAUAAAUGUAGAGG
ensembl:lncRNA